UACGUAGGGUGCAAGCGUUGUCCGGAAUUAUUGGGCGUAAAGAGCUCGUAGGCGGUUUGUCGCGUCUGCUGUGAAAACUCGGGGCUUAACUCCGGGCCUGCAGUGGGUACGGGCAGACUAGAGUGCGGUAGGGGAGACUGGAAUUCCUGGUGUAGCGGUGAAAUGCGUAGAUAUCGGGAGGAACACCUGUGGCGAAAGCGGCGCACUGGACCAUAACUGACGCUGAUGCGCGAAAGCUAGGGGAGCAAACAGG
rnacentral:rRNA from 1 species